AUUGAUUUUAUGCUUGCAUAAAUGAUUUUUGGAUUCGGAGCGAGUGGCGAACUGGUGAGUAACACGUGGGUAACCUGCCCCGAAGCGGGGGAUAACAUUUGGAAACAAGUGCUAAUACCGCAUAAUUAGUUGGAACCGCAUGGUUCCAACUUGAAAGAUGGCUCUGCUAUCACUUUGGGAUGGACCCGCGCCGUAUUAGUUAGUUGGUGAGAUAAAAGCCCACCAAGGCGAUGAUACGUAGCCGACCUGAGAGGGUAAUCGGCCACAUUGGGACUGAGACACGGCCCAGACUCCUACGGGAGGCAGCAGUAGGGAAUCUUCCACAAUGGACGAAAGUCUGAUGGAGCAACGCCGCGUGAGUGAUGAAGGUUUUCGGAUCGUAAAACUCUGUUGUUAAAGAAGAACAAGUGUUAGAGUAACUGUUAACACUUUGACGGUAUUUAACCAGAAAGCCACGGCUAACUACGUGCCAGCAGCCGCGGUAAUACGUAGGUGGCAAGCGUUGUCCGGAUUUAUUGGGCGUAAAGCGAGCGCAGGCGGUUUUGUAAGUCUGCUGUGAAAGCCCUCAGCUCAACUGAGGAAGUGCAGUGGAAACUACAAAACUUGAGUACAGAAGAGGAAAGUGGAACUCCAUGUGUAGCGGUGAAAUGCGUAGAUAUAUGGAAGAACACCAGUGGCGAAGGCGGCUUUCUGGUCUGUUACUGACGCUGAGGCUCGAAAGCAUGGGUAGCGAACAGGAUUAGAUACCCUGGUAGUCCAUGCCGUAAACGAUGAAUACUAGGUGUUGGAGGGUUUCCGCCCUUCAGUGCCGCAGCUAACGCAUUAAGUAUUCCGCCUGGGGAGUACGACCGCAAGGUUGAAACUCAAAGGAAUUGACGGGGGCCCGCACAAGUGGUGGAGCAUGUGGUUUAAUUCGAUGCUACGCGAAGAACCUUACCAGCUCUUGACAUCUUCUGCCAACCCAAGAGAUUGGGCGUUCCCUUCGGGGACAGAAUGACAGGUGGUGCAUGGUUGUCGUCAGCUCGUGUCGUGAGAUGUUGGGUUAAGUCCCGCAACGAGCGCAACCCUUAUUAUUAGUUGCCAGCAUUUAGUUGGGCACUCUAGUGAGACUGCCGGUGAUAAA
rnacentral:rRNA from 1 species